UUCACAAGCUGUUUGAUUCUCCGAGAGGUUUUUUUGGGGGGGGGGGUUGGGGGGGGAAGAACUCCAAGGCAUCAGAUUCUGAGUAUUUUCAAAGAUGGACUCUUCACGGCAUUCUGCAAACUUUAUUUACAGCGCUACAAGGAAACACACAACAACAACGACAACGAACAAAAGAGAACGGCGCCCCUGAUGCCGCGAGGCUCUGCCGAGUGGUCUCCAGCCCCCGGCUCCGACCGCGCGGGCAGAGGAGCGCGCCCGACCUCUUGCAAGCCUCGGUGCUUUCCUUGCGCUCCCACCUGCGCAGCGACGGAGCACCUCGGGGCUCCCAGCCUCGGCUCCCCGACACUACUGCCCGACCCCGACGGGCCCUUACCCCGAGGCUACCGCCG